UUAGUGGCGAACGGGUGAGUAACACGUGAGUAACCUGCCCUUAACUCUGGGAUAAGCCUGGGAAACUGGGUCUAAUACCGGAUAGGAGCGCCUACCGCAUGGUGGGUGUUGGAAAGAUUUAUCGGUUUUGGAUGGACUCGCGGCCUAUCAGCUUGUUGGUGAGGUAAUGGCUCACCAAGGCGACGACGGGUAGCCGGCCUGAGAGGGUGACCGGCCACACUGGGACUGAGACACGGCCCAGACUCCUACGGGAGGCAGCAGUGGGGAAUAUUGCACAAUGGGCGCAAGCCUGAUGCAGCGACGCCGCGUGAGGGAUGACGGCCUUCGGGUUGUAAACCUCUUUCAGUAGGGAAGAAGCGAAAGUGACGGUACCUGCAGAAGAAGCACCGGCUAACUACGUGCCAGCAGCCGCGGUAAUACGUAGGGUGCGAGCGUUAUCCGGAAUUAUUGGGCGUAAAGAGCUCGUAGGCGGUUUGUCGCGUCUGUCGUGAAAGUCCGGGGCUUAACCCCGGAUCUGCGGUGGGUACGGGCAGACUAGAGUGCAGUAGGGGAGACUGGAAUUCCUGGUGUAGCGGUGGAAUGCGCAGAUAUCAGGAGGAACACCGAUGGCGA
rnacentral:rRNA from 1 species